UACGGAGGGUGCAAGCGUUACUCGGAAUCACUGGGCGUAAAGGGCGUGUAGCCGGGCUGACAAGUCAGAUGUGAAAUUCCGGGGCUCAACCCCGGACCUGCAUUUGAAACUGUUGGUCUUGAGUAUCGGAGAGGCAGGCGGAAUUCCUAGUGUAGCGGUGAAAUGCAUAGAUAUCACACAGAACACCGAUUGCGAAGGCAUCUCACGAAUCCGCGAUUGACGCUGAUGCACGAAAGCGUGGGUAUCAAACAGG
rnacentral:rRNA from 1 species